rnacentral:rRNA from 7 species
UAGGACUCUCGGCAAUGGAUAUCUUGGCUCUUGCAUCGAUGAAGAGCGCAGCGAAAUGCGAUACGUGGUGCGAAUUGCAGAAUCCCGUGAACCAUCGAGUUUUUGAACGCAAGUUGCGCCCGAGGCCAACUGGCCAAGGGCACGUCCGCCUGGGCGUCAAGCAUUGAAUCGCUCC